rnacentral:rRNA from 1 species
GAUGAGCGCUAGCGGCAGGCCUAACACAUGCAAGUCGAGGGGUAACAUAGAAAAGCUUGCUUUUCUGAUGACGACCGGCGCACGGGUGCGUAACGCGUAUACAACCUACCUUUUAGCGGGGAAUAGCCCAGGGAAACUUGGAUUAAUGCCCCAUAGUAUAUAGACUUCUCCUGAAGUUUAUAUUAAACAUUUAUGGCUAUUAGAUGGGUAUGCGUCCUAUUAGUUAGUUGGUAAGGUAACGGCUUACCAAGGCAGCGAUAGGUAGGGGUCCUGAGAGGGAGAUCCCCUCACUGGUACUGAGACACGGACCAGACUCCUACGGGAGGCAGCAGUGAGGAAUAUUGGACAAUGGGCGAGAGCCUGAUCCAGCCAUGCCGCGUGCAGGAAGACUGCCCUAUGGGUUGUAAACUGCUUUUACAGAGGAAGAACCACCCCCACGUGUGGGGGUUUGACGGUACUCUGCGAAUAAGGAUCGGCUAACUCCGUG